AAAAAAAAAAAAAAAGAAAGAAAAAGAAAGAGAGCAUGGCCUACAGAAGGGCUUGAGUCAGGGUGGGCUUGUGCCUAGAAGUCCUCUGCCUCAUGUCACCCCGGUGAAGUCUUAUCUGUCCUUUGUAGCCUCCCCCUCUUCUAGAAGCCUUCCUUCACCUCUCUGCAGAACCAACCCCACUUCCCCAGGAACCCCUCCUCCUGGCAUCCUGGAAUCAGCCCCUGCAGGACAGCACCUGGGGCAAGGAGCCAUGUUUUAAGGGUGUAUCUGAGUAGGCAUCCCUGUUUGAUCAUCCCUAGUGCUUGCUCAGGUGAUUGUUCUUCAGCAGUAUCUGAUGAGCGGAAUGAGUUGCAUGAAAACUGUCAUGAUUUUGACCACGGGAAGACACUGUUCUUUCCAUGUGGCUUUGGAAAGACGGAAGUGGAAGAGAGGGCGGAUAUGACAAGACAGCGGACUUCAGCUAAAAUCAGGAAGUGUUUAUAACAAUAGUGACGACAGCUUCAUUAUGUCUUACUCGUGCAAUGCUACAUGAUAAGCAACUCCAAACAGCCCAGAGCAGUAGCAAGAAGCCCUUCAUUAAUUAUCUCACACAGCUCAUGCCAGCCAGGAACUCAGGAGUGGUGAGGAGAUUGGUUCCGGCUUGGCAUCUCUCAUGGGUUGCAGAUGCCAGCCAGGGCUGCGGUUAUCUGAAGAUGACAUUCUGGCAUACUCACGUGGUUGCUGAAGUCCUCAUUCAGAUUCACACACGAUCGACAACCUGAUUCUUCUCUUUCAUCAUCCACUUCCUAGUCUUCUGCUCCCAGUUCACUUUGAUCAGAGGCUACUGUCUCAACAUAGAUAAAGAGAAUCAUUUUGGAAGGACCUCAGAAAAAGGAGCUGCUGGGGUCCUCCUUUGUCUGCUGUGUUUACUUGUCCUAAUUGCCAAGACUCUGAAGAGGGGGAUGAAAACAAGAGAAGAUGUGAAGACAGCUUAUGAACUGGAGUAACCCUGGUCACAGGGAUGUAACAGGGGUUUUAGAAGGAGGGAGAGAUGCACUCAGCUCUCUCGCUAGGCUCAUCGGACUGAGAAGAUAUUUUUGGGUCCUUGUGUGAGUAUUUUCCCCUAAUAAACUACCAUUAUAAACCUA